AUUACCCGGAAGCUGGUUACGUCACAGUUAAAGAUCCUCCUGAAACCAACAACAGAAAACCUGAUCCAGUUCCUGCCUCUGAGCAAGAUUAUUUUCUCAUCUGACCUCUCUUGCUGUGGGGCAAUUUAUAUUGGAGCCAUUCUAACUUGGAUUAUAAUGGACAUUUAUUUUUUGGAGAAGAAUUUUGUGAUUAUUUUUUGAUGGCUAUAUAUUUAUUUUUCUCUUUGAAAUACAAGGACUGUUAAGCCUAAUUUUUUGUUGUCUAUUUGUGAAGAGUUUUCGUUCUUUAUUUGUAAGGGUCUACACACAAAAGUGUAUGGUCCUUGUGUGACUGGUUUAAAAAUAUA